rnacentral:rRNA from 1 species
GACGAACGCUGGCGGCGUGCUUAACACAUGCAAGUCGAACGGAAAGGCCCCUUUGGGGGUACUCGAGUGGCGAACGGGUGAGUAACACGUGAGUAACCUGCCCUUGACUUCGGGAUAACUUCAGGAAACUGGGGCUAAUACCGGAUAGGAAUCCUUGCUGCAUGGUGGGGGUUGGAAAGCUUCGGCGGUUUUGGAUGGACUCGCGGCUUAUCAGCUUGUUGGUGGGGUAGUGGCUUACCAAGGCUUUGACGGGUAGCCGUCCUGAGAGGGCGACCGGCCACAUUGGGACUGAGAUACGGCCCAGACUCCUACGGGAGGCAGCAGUGGGGAAUAUUGCACAAUGGGCGGAAGCCUGAUGCAGCAACGCCGCGUGCGGGAUGACGGCCUUCGGGUUGUAAACCGCUUUCAGCAGGGGCGAAGCUUGUGGUGACGGUACCUGCAGAAGAAGCACCGGCUAACUACGUG